CGGCUGGGCUGAACCACGCUCUGAGGGAAAAGCCUGCCUCCGUCAUGGUGGCCAGGAGGCUGGUGAGGGGCUGGGGACCCAGGGUGUCUGCGGUGCCCAUGCUCGGGGAUCAUCAAGCCAGAGAGCAGGGCUGGGAGGAGCUGUCUGCAUCUACACUGAGGGGCCUGUCUCUAAAUCUGGAGGAAUCUGGUGGUGCUCCAUUGGCUGAAAUGGUUGGGGGAGAGCAGGGAUACAGGAGGUGGCUGGUGGAGGGACACCAGCAUAGACCCCUGGGAGAGGAGGGGAGGGAAGGGGGAGGGGUGGGAAGCUCCAGGGCCAAGGGCCCACCUGAGCCCUCAGGUGCAGGGAUUGCUCUGGCCAUUAGCUCAUCCUGGGGCAGGGGGGGGGGUGCAUCAUGGCAGCUGCUGCCCUCCAGCACCCCCCACUCACUGGGAAAGCUCUAGCAGUGUGAGUGUGUGGUGGGGGGAGGUGGAAGAUAGACAGCGUGGAGUCUCUGAGGAAGCACUCCUCCCCCCACUUCUCCACAAACUGGUGUCUGUGUUUGUGGUAAAGCCAGUGACACGGGGAGGUGCCCUACAAGAGGAGCAGGACCCGGCAAGGUCAGAUUGCGAGGCGGCCAGCCACAUAAAGCGGGGUGUGAAGAGUGCUUCAGCAGCUGCCCCACCAUGACCUCCUGGGCCCUCCUGCUCCUUGCCUCAGUGCUCCUGGCCACCCCGGGGCUGACCUUUUGUGGUCUGACCCCUGAGGACCAUGACCUGGACAUGGCUGACAAGUGUCAGGAUGAGAAGUUCUUCCAGAUGCUGGCCCAGGAGACCCCUCAGAGGGACCUGCUGAACAAAACUGAAGGGCUGAUUUACAACUGUUGGCCCUCUUGGAAGAUAAUGUCUCUGCUGAAGAAAAGGGUGGGAGAGGAGGCCAGUCAGUGUGAAGAUUCCUCCAGAGAAUCCCCAGAAAUUGUGUAGCUCUGAGAGCUGGUAAGCAGGUGCAAGAGUGUUCCUGUUUCCAUCCCAUUGUCAAAGGAGACUUGCUGCCAGAGAAGGAAACCAUGAAAGGGGCUGUAUUCCUGGUGUGCAUGGAGGUGAUGUUGCUGAGAGGUUUCUGCAUGAGAAUGGUGUCCAGAUUCGUUCGUCUCAUCUCCCAGGCAUCCUUCGUGGCAAAACUCCCAGAGAAAUCUGUGUGACACUCAGAAUAUGCUGCCAUCAGGUCUCUGAGCCUCUGGGGUCUCUGACGCCACCCUGGGGAGAAGCACAGAGUCUCCCACAACCACCACCUGCUUCUGCCCUCCCAGAUCCACAGCCGACCCUCCAGUGUCUCUCAGCUAACUUCUCAUUGCCUUCCCCUGCAAGAGAAUAAAUGCCAUGCAAACUUUUA